AGCGAACGUUAGCGGCGGGCCUAACACAUGCAAGUCGAGCGAGAAAGUGGCUUCGGCCAUCAGUAAAGCGGCGGACGGGUGAGUAACACGUAGGUAAUCUUCCCUUGAGCGGGGGACAACGUUUCGAAGGAACGCUAAUACCGCAUACGUUCCCGGGACGCUCUGGCCCCUCGGGAGGAAAGCUAGGUCGCAAGAUCCGGCACUCGAGGAGGAGCCUGCGUCGCAUCAGCUAGUUGGUGGGGAA
rnacentral:rRNA from 1 species